rnacentral:tRNA from 1 species
UCCCUGGUAGUCUAGUGGUUAGAUUCUGGGCUUUCACCGCUGUGGCCAGGGUUCAAUCCCUGGUCAGAGAA